ACGGGCGCUCACGGUGGCUUCGACCCUCGUCUCGGCCGCGUGCGGUAGUGCGGGAGGCAUGCCGUGUGUACCGGCGGCGAGGGGAUGCGAGCGUGAGUGCCUCGG
rnacentral:pre_miRNA from 1 species